CCCUUAGAUGUUCUGGGCCGCACGCGCGCUACACUGUUCGACGCAGCGAGUCUUAACCUUGACCGAAAGGUUUGGGUAAUCUUCAGCAAAGUCGAACGUGAUGGGGAUCGAUCAUUGCAAUUAUUGAUCGUGAACGAGGAAUUCCUAGUAAGUGCAAGUCAUCAGCUUGCGCUGAUUACGUCCCUGCCCUUUGUACACACCGCCCGUCGUUACUACCGAUUGAAUGGUUUAGUGAGAUCUCUGGAUUGACGCUGGCUAGGGGGCGACCCUUGGCCAGACUGUUGAGAAACUGCUCAAACUUGAUCAUUUAGAGGAAGUAAAAGUCGUAACA
rnacentral:rRNA from 1 species